GGGCCCGUAGUUCAGUUGGCUAGAACGUCGCAUUUGCAAUGCGAAGAUCACCGGUUCGAAUCCGGUCGGGUCCA
rnacentral:tRNA from 1 species